GAUGAACGCUGGCGGCGUGCCUAAUACAUGCAAGUCGAGCGAACAGAUAAGGAGCUUGCUCCUUUGACGUUAGCGGCGGACGGGUGAGUAACACGUGGGUAACCUACCUAUAAGACUGGGAUAACUUCGGGAAACCGGAGCUAAUACCGGAUAAUAUUUCGAACCGCAUGGUUCGAUAGUGAAAGAUGGUUUUGCUAUCACUUAUAGAUGGACCUGCGCCGUAUUAGCUAGUUGGUAAGGUAACGGCUUACCAAGGCGACGAUACGUAGCCGACCUGAGAGGAUGAUCGGCCACACUGGAACUGAGACACGGUCCAGACUCCUACGGGAGGCAGCAGUAGGGAAUCUUCCACAAUGGGCGAAAGCCUGACGGAGCAACGCCGCGUGAGUGAUGAAGGUCUUCGGAUCGUAAAACUCUGUUAUUAGGGAAGAACAUACGUGUAAGUAACUGUGCACGUCUUGACGGUACCUAAUCAGAAAGCCACGGCUAACUACGUG
rnacentral:rRNA from 1 species